CCUACGGGUGGCAGCAGUGAGGCAUAUUGGUCAAUGGCCGAGCGGCUGAACCAGCCAAGUCGCGUGAGGGAAGACGGCCCUACGGGUUGUAAACCUCUUUUGUCGGGGAGCAAAGAGAGUCACGUGUGACUCAUUGAGAGUACCCGAAGAAAAAGCAUCGGCUAACUCCGUUCCAGCAGCCGCGGUAAUACGGAGGCGGCGAGCGUUAUCCGGAUUUAUUGGGUUUAAGGGGUGCGCAGGCGGUCUUGUAAGUCAGCGGUAAAAGCCCGGGGCUAAACCCCGGCCCGCCGUUGAAACUGGCAGUCUCGAGUUGGAGAGAAGUAUGCGGAAGGCGCGGUGUAGCGGUGAAAUGCAUAGAUAUCGCGCAGAACUCCGAUUGCGAAGGCAGCAUGCCGGCUCCACACUGACGCUGAGGCACGAAAGCGUGGGUAUCGAACAGGAUUAGAUACCCUGGUAGUC
rnacentral:rRNA from 1 species